AGACUUCACUAACGAUGCCAACCAGCGAUUAGCCUGAGUUCCUUAAAUGACUCGGCUAGCAGCUUCCGGGAAACCAAAGUGUUUCGGUUCCGGGGGAAGUAUGGUUGCAAAGCUGAAACUUAAAGGAAUUGACGGAAGGGCACCACCAGGAGUGGAGCCUGCGGCUUAAUUUGACUCAACACGGGAAAACUUACCCGGCCCGGACACUGGAAGGAUUGACAGACUGAGAGCUCUUUCUUAAUUCGGUGGGUGGUGGUGCAUGGCCGUUCUUAGUUGGUGGAGCGAUUUGUCUGGUUAAUUCCGAUAACGAACGAGACUCUGGCCUAUUAAAUAGUCGGUAUAUCCAGAAAAGUUUACCGUACUUCUUAGAGGGACAAACGGCGUCUAGCCGCGUGAAAUAGAGCAAUAACAGGUCUGUGAUGCCCUUAGAUGUCCGGGGCUGCACGCGCGCUACACUGAAAGAAUCAGUAUGCGCUUUAACCUAGUCCGGAAGGAUUGGGUAACCCGAGCAAAUUCUUUCGUGCUUGGGAUAGGGAAUUGCAAUUAUUUCCCUUAAACGAGGAAUUCCCAGUAAAUGCGGGUCAUAAGCUCGCGUUGAUUACGUCCCUGCCCUUUGUACACACCGCCCGUCGCUACUACCGAUUGGAUGACUUAGUGAGGUCUUAGGACCGACGUAAAGGAGCUUUCGCGAGUUCUUUUUCGUUGGAAAUUUGAUCGAACUACGUUAUCUAGAGGAAGUAAAAGUCGUAACAAGGUUUCCGUAGUGAACCUGCGGAAGGAUC
rnacentral:rRNA from 1 species